CAUCUUCGGGCCCAGCAAGCUGGAGGAGAAGCAGGAGAGCAAGGUGCUCAAGUUCCUGGGCUUCAUGUGGAACCCGAUGUCCUGGGUCAUGGAGGCAGCCGCCAUCAUGGCCAUCGCGCUCGCCAACGGAGGAGGCAAGCCACCGGACUGG